AACGCUGGCGGCGUGCCUAACACAUGCAAGUCAACUUGACUGAAGGAGCAAUCUGACAGUAGAGUGGCGCAAGGGUGCGUAACGCGUAAGUAACUUGCCCCAAGGUAAGGAAUAACGUCGAGAAAUCGGCGCUAAUACCUCAUAAUGCAGCGGAUCCGCAUGGAUAUGUUGUUAAAGGUUUACCGCCUUGGGAUAGGCUUGCGUCUGAUUAGCUAGUUGGUGUGGUAACGGCACACCAAGGCUACGAUCAGUAACUGGGUCUGAGAGGAUGAUCAGCCACACUGGAACUGAGACACGGUCCAGACUCCUACGGGAGGCAGCAGAGAGGAAUAUUGGGCAAUGCUCGAAAGAGUGACCCAGCAACGCCGCGUGGAGGAUGAAGGUAUUCUAUAUCGUAAACUCCUGUGAGAGCAGACGAAAGACAGAUUAUUAAUCUGGAUGACUGUAUGCUCAGAGGAAGCCCCGGCUAACUACGUG
rnacentral:rRNA from 1 species